UCCAGGUGAAUAAUUACAAGGUAGAUAAAUGUUGCUUAAGUGUCUAAGGAAACAAUGAUCAGAAUUGUGUGUGGUUUGAUUCCGGGAUUAGUAAGUCGUAUUUAGGAGAAGAUAAGAAAAAUUGAAAAAGAUGACAGACGCUCAGGAUGUUAUGAAAACAUUUAUAUCUUCAUAUCUUCUACAUAUGCUUCGAUGGAUGCAUUCCAAAUACGCCCGACAGGAAGAAUUAUGGUGGAAAUUUUCUUUGAAAUACU